AUGAGCUGUAAUAACCUUGUAAUAUGUGCAAAUGUCUGUCCAAAUUCAGAAAUCCCCAGCUGUGUGGCUGCCUUCAUUCACAGAGGGCAGUUGUGCUGGGGAGGGGUGCAGCAUCGGCAUGCUUGUGGAGUGAGUGAGCCCUGUCCUCCACCUCUCAUUGACUCUCAUUGCCUAACUCCCUUGUGUCUUGGCCUCAGGUUGAUAAUCUGGGGCUACCACCAGCCCCUGGAGAGCAGUGGCCUCUGGUCCUUAAACAAGGAGGACACGGUGGAACAAGUCAUGCCUGUUUUGGUAAAGAACUGGAAGAAGAAAUGUACCAAGUCUAGGAAGGGUCAUGGGCAUCAGUGGUCCAGGGAAGGAAGCAAAGCAAAUGGAGAAUGGCAUGUUGUGACAGACAGUACGGGGAAGCAACUACAGAGACAGCUCAGCAGCUCCUCCUCCUAUAGCAGGGACAUCAGUAGGCACCGUAACAGCACCACAGAGCUGCAGAAAGCCAAAGCCAAGAAGGAGGAGACUUGGAAGCUGAUGGAGGCUGAAAUGGCACAGACAGGGCAGGUGAGAUUUGCUCCUUCAGUGAUGAUGGUGGCUGCAGCUUACAGAGCACCCACUGUGCAAAGUGCUUGUCUAUAAUAUACCAUAAAGGUACUAUUUACUGCACUGGAAACUGAGGCCAGAGAUGUUUAGUGACUUACCCAAGGUCACUGCUUUUCAGGGAUACAGACACUCACUACCACGCCCAGUUAAUUUUUGUCUUUUUAAUAGAGACAGGACUUCACCAUGUUGGCCAGGCUGGUCUUGAACUCCUGGGCUCAUCUUCCCUCACCUUCCCAAAAUACUAGGAUUAGAGGUGUGAGCCAUCACACCUGACCUGUUUUUCAUUUCUCAUUUAGUCCUUAUGAUUUUGUCCCUGAGAAAGUCUCAGUUGGGUCCUAGCCUGCUUUCAGUACCUAACAGCUGCUAGCCUCUCUUUGUAACAAGGAGAGUGGGUUUCGAGCUCCUGUUUUAUUUUGUUUAUUUUUUAAAGAUCAUCUAUUUUGGGCAAGUGUUAAUAGUUCUCCAUUUAUGGUAGUGAUUCAGAGGUUUUUUUUUUUUUUUGAGACGGAGUUUCAAAAAACCACCGCACCUGGCCUCAAAGUUCAUUUUUAAAAAUAAAUGUGGGCCGGGCAUGGUGGCUCAAGCCUGUAAUCCCAGCACUUUGGGAGGCCGAAGCGGGUGGAUCACAAGGUCAAGAGAUCGAGACCGCCGG
rnacentral:lncRNA from 1 species